GGCCGCCAGACCUACAGCCGCUACCAGACCCUGGAGCUGGAGAAGGAGUUCCUAUUUAAUCCCUAUCUGACUCGCAAGCGGAGGAUCGAGGUAUCGCACGCGCUGGGACUGACAGAAAGACAGGUCAAAAUCUGGUUCCAGAAUCGGAGAAUGAAGUGGAAAAAGGAGAACAACAAAGACAAGUUCCCCAGCAGUAAAUGCGAGCAGGAGGAGCUGGAGAAAGAGAAGCUGGAGCGGGCGCCAGAGACCGCCGAGCAGGGCGAUGCGCAGAAGGGUGACAAAAAGUAGGCUCCAGCUGGGACUGCUCGGGCCCGGACUAGCCCGCACGUCCGCCGGUCCCUCCCGCGACCACGCCGCCGCCGCCCGCCCCCCGCCUCCGAGAGCUCCGGCCCCGCGAGCGGAGCCAGGAGCUGGGCCUCCCACCGCAGCGUCCCCCGCCGCGCCAGUCCCCGCUAGUGGUAGUAUCUCGUAAUAGCUUCUGUGUGUGAGCUACCGUGGAUCUCCUUCCCUUCUCUUGGGGGUCCGAGGGGGAAAAAAAAGAAAAAA
rnacentral:lncRNA from 1 species